rnacentral:rRNA from 1 species
AGGAACAUGUGGUUUAAUUCGAUGAUACGCGAGGAACCUUACCUGGGCUUAAAUGUAGAGUGCAUUUUUUAGAGAUAGAAAUUCCCUUCGGGGCUUUCUGCAAGGUGCUGCAUGGUUGUCGUCAGCUCGUGCCGUGAGGUGUCGGGUUAAGUCCCAUAACGAGCGCAACCCUUAUCGUUAGUUGCCAGCUGGUAAAGCAGGGGACUCUAGCGAAACUGCCACCGUAAGGUGAGAGGAAGGUGGGGAUGACGUCAAAUCAGCACGGCCCUUAUGUCCAGGGCUACACACGUGUUACAAUGGCCGGCACAGAAGGCAGCUACCUGGUGACAGGAUGCUAAUCUCGAAAACCGGUCUCAGUUCGGAUCGAAGUCUGCAACUCGACUUCGUGAAGCUGGAUUCGCUAGUAAUCGCGCAUCAGCCAUGGCGCGGUGAAUACGUUCCCGGGCCUU